GCCAUAACAUAUUGAAACACUGGUUCUCAUAUGAUCACUGAAGUUAAGCAAUGUCAAACCUCGUUAGAACCUAGAUUGGUGACUACUUGGGAAUAUCAGGUGCUGUAAU